rnacentral:rRNA from 1 species
CGUCGACGGACGAACGGCUGGCGGCGUAGCCUAACUACAUGCAAGUCGAGCGGACCGAAUUAAGAGCUUGCUCUUAGAGGUCAGCGGCGACGGGUGAGUAACACGUGGGCAACCUGCCUUGCAGACUGGGAUAACUCCGGAAACCGGGGCUAAUACCGGAUGAUCAAUGGAACUGCAUAGUUCUAUUGUAAAAGUGGGGAUUUAUCCUCACACUGCAAGAUGGGCCCGCGGCGCAUUAGCUAGUUGGUAAGGUAAUGGCUUACCAAGGCGACGAUGCGUAGCCGACCUGAGAGGGUGAUCGGCCACACUGGAACUGAGACACGGUCCAGACUCCUACGGGAGGCAGCAGUAGGGAAUCAUCCGCAAUGGGCGAAAGCCUGACGGUGCAACGCCGCGUGAGUGAUGACGGUCUUCGGAUUGUAAAGCUCUGUUGUUAGGGAAGAACAAGUGCUGUUCGAAUAGGGCGGCACCUUGACGGUACCUAACCAGAAAGCCCCGGCUAACUACGUG